rnacentral:lncRNA from 1 species
AAACAAGCAGUUGCAAUUGAUAAAAGUCUCUAUGGUUGUGAUUUUUUUUUUAAAAGCUGACAUAUCAUUGAACUACUUAAAUUAUCUUAGUUUUUGGGGGGGGGAAUGGAAGAAGUUACACUAUUAAUUCUAAAUACAGUUAUAUUAAUGAUCAAGUCUGUAGGACCCAAGAUCAAUAUUGAGAGAGAGAUGAGCAAAAACCUAUGGAGAGAGCCCAUGGAUACCAUUCCUGGGUUUAUUUACCAAGAAGUUCAGGAAAAAAGAUCAGACAACUGAGGUCCGCAGUGGUGAAGUGUCUUGCCCCAAGUCACAGAGUAGUACCUGGAGAAACAGAAGUAUUACCUAUGCCCUCUGAUUCCAAAUUUAUUGCUCUAUUUUUCAUAACAUGCAAUUAUGUUAGACUAGAAUUAACUAGUCGAUCAUGGUAAAGUAGUUGGGAUUUGAAUAUGUAAGUAAAUUUAUUUACUUUCUCCUUCCUGUGUCUCGUGGAUUGACUUCUCAUAGAAGACAGUUUCUGUUAAGGAAGAAAUUCAGCCCUCUAAUGUCAAGCUCACAUUGACUUUCCUAUGUCUCAGGAGAACAUUUCUAACUGUCAGAAUGUGAACAACUAAUAACCCCAAAGAUUCUUUUUUGACAGCCCCUGGAGCUUAAAAAAAUCAUGUCAGAGACACAUUUCUGGCAUGUCAAGAAGCCACUAUCAUGAUGUAACUCAUUCUAUCCAACGUCAGCAUUUCCAGGGCAAGGUAUAGCAACUAUUACUGCAAUACCGUGGGGCCAUUUGAACAUUUCCAUAUUUGUGUGUAAAGGCAAGUUACAGGAGAUAAGAGAGUUGGGUUUAGAAGCAGAAACACAAAGACUCAAAUUGUGCUUUUGUUACUUAGAAUUCUGUUACCCAGGGCAAGUGACUGAACCCCUGUCUCUUAGUUAUAGUUGCUAAGACUACUAAGCUAGUGAUGCCAAG